GUUUCACAUUUCACCCUUGUGCCCGGGCGAAACUAGGACAGACUACAACACCUUGCGCAGAGCCAGAAACUUAAAAGAGGCAGCAUCUUACCUGAGAAAAAUAUUCUUCUGAAAUGCGUGCAGCCCACUCGAUGCAGUACUGCAGUGGUCGGCAGGGAUUGGACACAUCAGCACAUUUAAUCAGCAUUCGUUUAAUUAGAGUCCGGUUCUCUGGAGUCCUAAGCAUGUUCUAGGCACUAGGAAGCACAUAUGCCCCCAUGGACUGAACUUCUGAUGUCACAGGCCAGAGAGAAAACAGAGGAAACUAUCUAGCAAGCCAAAGCCAAACAGCCUCUUUUUGUGUCUAUGACAAUAAGCCUUUAUAAUUAUUCAGCUUGCCAUUCUCUAGGAGUAAAAACGUUCUGGAAGACAAUGCCACAGAAUGCUCUUUGUUUCAUAUAUGGCAGGAAUAAAACAUUCAACUCACCAAUAACUGAAAUCCACAAAUUUCUGGUUAAAUUUUUCAAGGUACCCUCUGGGGCUUUGCACUGCUAUGUUUAAUCUAGAAUGAUUAGUAAAUAUCUUAAAUGAUUAGUAAAUAUCUUAAAUGAGGCAGGAUGCAACUCUUAGGUUCUAAAAUUUGUUUAUUUUUGUUGUUCUUGUCAAGAUAUGGUUCCUUUGGGGUGAGGAGAAGCCUGGGCAAUGUCGAGGCAGAAAAAACAUUAACAUCCUGGGUAUCUCCUGGGUAUCUCCACGAACAAUCCCAUCAGGCUAAAUGCUGCUUCCCAAAGUCAUGACAAGACCAGGAACUGUCCCAGAGACUGAUGUGUCAACCAAGGAGAGACAAUGUCCAAGGUUAACCAAUCCAGGGAGUUUCAAAUGUUUUAAAUUUGGGGACCCAACUAAACUUAUAAUUUUGGUGAUCAUAGGACUGCCAACUUUCCAUUUUACCCAAUGAAGUCAUUAAACCAAAAAUAAAAACUGCUAUUUAUCACCGUCAUAAAAGGACUUGUUUUCAUUUAAAAAUAAUUGACAUAUGCUUGUAACAAACAACAGAGAUCUAUUUUACCACAAGGUGACUACAGUUAAUAACAACAUACUUUUGAAAAUCGCUAAGAGUAGAUUUUAAGUGUUCUCACCACAAAAAAAAAAAAAAAAAGUGUAUCAGGUAAUACAUACGUUAAUUAGCCUCAUUUAGCCAUUCCACAAUGUACAGAUAGGUCAAAACGUCAUGUACAUGAUAAAUAUACAUCAUUCUUACUUGUCAAUUAAAAAAU